CCAGCAAUGGCAUCUUCAAGUUUUUCCAGUCCUGUGUAUGAAGUAGAAUUUCGACUGUAAGAUUCGAGUUGAGUCUUCAGUAUGGAGAACUCAUCAUCCAUCGCGUCAAGAUCAUCCAUUAAGAAUGUCGUUGGACGUCCCGACUCAUCUGCAGAUACCCAGAGAUCCAGACAGAACAGCAGCAGUACUCCAGUCCACAUCAUUUUGACUCCCAGGAAUAAGAACUUAGCCAUUUAUAAAUGUGUGUGAUAGCAGUGUGUACAGAGGAGAGGACUGAAGUACAGCUCCAUAGUGUAAUGGUUGUUCUUUUACAAACCCACUGACUAAAUGAACUGAUUCUG